AGGAAAAUUGACAAAGGUUGAAAUUGUGGCAAAGCAACGCGGGCGAUAUUUUCAAUCUCCAAAAUUUUCACUCGCGCCCAUAUUUCAUCUCUUCCCUCUUUUGUUUUUUAUUUUCCAAAUCAAUCGUAAACUCAAAUCAGUUGCACAAAUCAUGAACAAAUCAUGAUUUCGAGUUUGCAGUUAUACCCUAAAAAUAAAAACACUAAAAUCAUGAAGAAAUCCAUUAACCCUAAUCCCAAAUCGUUUAUUUCGUCCUUGUUUCCGACCCUAAUCAUUCUUCUCUUUAUGGAUUGUUUCCAAUUCCGCUUGCUAGGUUUUCUUUCUAUGCAUACUAGUCCGUCUCAAAAGGUUCUAUAAUCUUUUUUCAUCAGAUUUAGAGGUUUGGAGUUUAUAUAGGUUUUCUCUUUCUGAGUUAUUUCAGAUUUGUUGGUUUUUUUUUCUAUAAGCUUCUUUAUGUUAAUUUAUUAUUGUUUUUCAGCGACACCAAGGAGUCUUCUUCAUCCACCCGUGAGUCUCUAUGAUAUCCAAAUCAAGCUUUUAUCUUCUGAUUCCUCUUUUUCAUUUUAGGAUGGUUAAAAUAGAUUGGGAAGGAUGUAGAGUAAUAUCCAACUUGCUGUAAAAUCACCAAUUCUAACUUUAUCAGAUUGAACCUAUCUGGCCAACUAUUGAAAUCGUGUUAUUUGACGUUUGAAAAAUCUAAUCUUCACACUGUGUCACGUCACUGAUUGUUGUGUAUUCUGCUUUGGAACUACUGUUUUAGAUGACUUUGGUUUUAAGCACAUACUCUGGGUCUAUAGUGGACGUAGAGGUGUUCAUUGUUGGGUGUGUGAUGGGAAGGCAAGAAGGCUAGACACUAGACCAUCAAAAGUUCUAAUAUUUGCUUCACCUGCAUGUAGUACACGUUGACAUUGAUUCGAUUAUACUAUCUUUACUAUUGCAGGUUGACUAACGAGCAAAGAGCUUCUAUUGCUGACUAUUUUCGUGUUUACAAGGUAUUAUCCUUAGUAACAAGUGGUGGGUUUGUCAAUGGUUGAUGCAGUUAAUGCAGUCACAACAAUAUCAAGUUAGAGGGCAAUGAAAAAAGUCAUAACAAGGUUUCCUUGAUGGGUGCUGCGCUUCAUCCUUUCUUGGCGUAAGUCUUGAGAUGAAUGACUAACCAACUUUCUGAUGCCUAUUUCAUAUCCUAUUAGUGCUGGUUUAGGGUGGUUACUAUUGUAGUUUUGUUUAGCAGGUGGUGUUGUCUUGUUGAGCCUUUUUAGGCUUUUCUAACUGACUCAAAAGUUACCAAGCCACAAUCAAUAUGAAACAAUGAACUAUGUAUACUAUAUAUUAGAUAUACCCCUUAUUUCAAAGUCAAUGAGAGUAAGAAUAAAGAUAACUUAUUUUCUUGUAGUGUCAAUUUUAAGUUCUCCUUUUCUUUAUUUUAAUGACAUCAAUAGUUGUAUUUUAACUUCUUUUUUUUUUGGUCAAGGGUUAUAUUUUAACUUUAAAUAUAGAACACUUGAUACUCACUAUGCCUCAGAUGAAAUAACUUAGUUACUUUUACAUGUUCAGCUUCUCAUUAGAACACAUACUAGCAUUGUUCUAGUACUCAAGAAGAGUUGAAACACUUGAUUUGCUCAUUACUUGUUUGAUGGGAUGCUCUUUAGUUACCAAUUGAUUAUCACAAAAAUGUUAAACCGAAAGUGAUGUAAAAGAUACAUAAAUGAAUUAGAGCUUAUAAAGACACUUCACAGGGAUCAAUCUAGAGAUGACAUAGACUAUGUAAGUCAGGAGCUAGAAACUUUAUAUGUUGGAUUAAGCUUCUACUAGCUAGGUUCAAGGCCAAACAAAUUAUCCAAGUCCACACAUUGAUGAAGAUAGAAGAGAUGAAGACUAGAAGCUAAUUAUAUUCCGACGAAUUAGCUUUAGUUACUUUUCGUUAUGUAUUUUUGAUACUAUGUAGUGCCGCAGUAGUGCACUUGAUACUUUGUAAGAACGACAAAUUUUUAUGUUAAUGUUACAAAUUUUAU